CUUCAGUCAUCGAUUUUGCGUAUUUUCAUUGCAAAGAUGCCCAGGAAAAAGAAAGUUUUCAUCAGCAGUCGCCGGAAGGGCUACUCAAAGUGGGGUCCGAGACAACAAGGUGUCAGUUCUUCCUCUCUCUCUGACAUUCUUAUUCAUCAGUUCAAUCAUCUGUUCUCGACGAUUGCAGUUCUAGAGAUGCACUGUGGGACAAAGCAUGGAAGUCAUUCUUCAUUGACCUCACCGAUGAACCCACAGAUAGAAGCGACAGAUUCUGAUGGUUGUUCGGCUGAUGAAUUCUUUGGGUUUAUUUGACACAAUUCACCAGUAUCAUCCGGACAACAAUGUAGAUGAAUUUGUUGAUGGCAUCCUGCGAAAAAAGGAGCUGUUUCAGCAUGUAGAUGAGCUAGGCAAUUUUACAAUUGCAAGAAACAAGCGUGAAAACAUUACUAUUGUGCAGUUUUAUGACUGACGUAGGCUCAGUCCAGCUUUCAGUAGUCAUCAAGCCAUCCUUUACAUCAGCAAUAUAUGCAUAUCGACGUGACUUUGGCCCAAAUCAUGAAUUCUGGAUUGGUUUACCUGCAUUUUUCUCCACUCUAAGAGAUAUGAAGAAACUUUUAUCAAAACUGACUACAUACCAUGUUUGCGUCGGCAAUUAUGAAGACAGAUUUGCAGACUUGAUUCCAGUUGGUGCAGGCAUAAGUGAAGGAGCUAUUUCAACAAUAUCUGCCUAAUAAUUUAACAUGUAAUAAAGUACAUGAGUAGAAAUUAUGGAAAUUAAAAUCCAAUGUACAGUUCACUUCAUGGAUAUCUAAAAUAUCUGUUAAUGAAGUUAUAUUAAGAUUGUGUACAGAUUUGUAUGAUUUUAUGUUUUACAUUCACAAUCAGUCCUAAAUGGACAACAUAACUAUGCAGGUUGUGUUGCAAGAAGUUUAUAAGUUAUCUUCCCUUAUUUUAUCAUGACUACAAUUAAUAUAUUUUCUGUUAUCAUUAUUCUUCCUAAUGAAGUUUGAUUAUGAGUUUACCUGGUCUUAGACAGUACCAACAGCCUGUCUUAUGCAACAACAAAAAUGAAAAAUGAACUCAUUAUUCAACAUUAUAUUUAUAUCAUAAAAUUAUCAUUUGUUUUGUAGAUGCCCAGGAAAAAGAAAGUUUUCAUCGGAAGGGCUACUCAAAGAGCCUA